rnacentral:tRNA from 1 species
UGUUUUGUUGCGAAGUUGGUAAAUGCGCCAUGUCUAGCGAAAUUGGGGAGUCGUGGGUUCAAACCCCACCAAAACUA